AUUGAACGCUGGCGGCAGGCCUAACACAUGCAAGUCGGACGGUAGCACAGAGGAGCUUGCUCCUCGGGUGACGAGUGGCGGACGGGUGAGUAAUGUCUGGGGAUCUGCCCGAUAGAGGGGGAUAACCACUGGAAACGGUGGCUAAUACCGCAUAACGUCGCAAGACCAAAGAGGGGGACCUUCGGGCCUCUCACUAUCGGAUGAACCCAGAUGGGAUUAGCUAGUAGGCGGGGUAAUGGCCCACCUAGGCGACGAUCCCUAGCUGGUCUGAGAGGAUGACCAGCCACACUGGAACUGAGACACGGUCCAGACUCCUACGGGAGGCAGCAGUGGGGAAUAUUGCACAAUGGGCGCAAGCCUGAUGCAGCCAUGCCGCGUGUAUGAAGAAGGCCUUCGGGUUGUAAAGUACUUUCAGCGGGGAGGAAGGCGGUGCGGUUAAUAACCGCGCCGAUUGACGCUACCCGCAGAAGAAGCACCGGCUAACUCCGUGCCAGCAGCCGCAGUAA
rnacentral:rRNA from 1 species